rnacentral:rRNA from 1 species
CCUACGGGCGGCAGCAGUGAGGAAUAUUGGUCAAUGGACGAGAGUCUGAACCAGCCAAGUAGCGUGAAGGAUGACUGCCCUAUGGGUUGUAAACUUCUUUUAUAUGGGAAUAAAAUGUUCCACGUGUGGGAUUUUGUAUGUACCAUAUGAAUAAGGAUCGGCUAACUCCGUGCCAGCAGCCGCGGUAAUACGGAGGAACCGAGCGUUAUCCGGAUUUAUUGGGUUUAAAGGGAGCGUAGGUGGAUUGUUAAGUCAGUUGUGAAAGUUUGCGGCUCAACCGUAAAAUUGCAGUUGAAACUGGCAGUCUUGAGUACAGUAGAGGUGGGCGGAAUUCGUGGUGUAGCGGUGAAAUGCUUAGAUAUCACGAAGAACUCCGAUUGCGAAGGCAGUUCACUGGACUGCAACUGACACUGAGGCUCGAGAGUGUGGGUAUCAAACAGGAUUAGAUACCCUUGUAGUC